rnacentral:lncRNA from 1 species
GAAGCUCAUGGGGUUGGCCUGCAAGUUGCUGGAGGUGUUGUCUGAGGCCAUGGAUUUGGACAAGGACGCUUUGACCAAUGCUUGUGUGGACAUGGACCAGAAGGUUGUGGUCAAUUUCUACCCCCAAUGCCCACAGCCAGACCUCACCCUCGGACUCAAGCGGCAUACCGAUCCGGGAACCAUCACGCUGCUCCUUCAGGAUCAGGUGGGAGGGCUCCAGGCCACUAGGGAUGGCGGAAAGACUUGGAUCACCGUUCAACCUGUUGAAGGAGCUUUCGUCGUCAACCUUGGCGACCACGGUCAUGUAAGCAUCAUAACCGGCGAAAGGCUGAAGCUAAUCUUUUCUUUGUCUUUGUCUUUUAAUUUAAUUUUAUAGAUAAGGUAGAAAUUCUCUUGUUCAUUGGUUUUCUUUAUGUGGUCAACAUCCACAAUAGUCCUUCCUGAUAUGGUAUUCAAAUUCAUGCUACCCGAACCCGAAAGAGAGAGUGAUUAUUGGUUUGGUAUGGUGCAGUAUCUGAGCAAUGGGAGGUUCAAGAAUGCUGAUCACCAAGCGGUGGUGAACUCCAAUCAUAGCAGACUGUCCAUAGCAACAUUCCAAAACCCCGCACCGGAGGCAACCGUGUAUCCUCUGAAGAUAAGAGAGGGAGAGAAGGCAGUGCUUGAGGGACCCAUCACCUUUGCAGAGAUGUACAGGAGGAAGAUGAGCAAAGAUCUGGAGCUUGCUAGGCUCAAGAAGUUGGCCAAGGAGCAGCAGUUGCAAGACGUGGAGAAGGCCAAGUUAGAGUCCAAGCCCAUUGACCAGAUUUUGGCCUAAUCUUUUUGUCCACUCCUCCUGCUUACUUGCGCUUGUUUAUUUACCAAUUGUACCU